rnacentral:rRNA from 1 species
AGCGAACGCUGGCGGCAGGCUUAACACAUGCAAGUCGAGCGGGCAUAGCAAUAUGUCAGCGGCAGACGGGUGAGUAACGCGUGGGAACGUACCUUUUGGUUCGGAACAACUGAGGGAAACUUCAGCUAAUACCGGAUAAGCCCUUACGGGGAAAGAUUUAUCGCCGAAAGAUCGGCCCGCGUCUGAUUAGCUAGUUGGUGAGGUAAUGGCUCACCAAGGCGACGAUCAGUAGCUGGUCUGAGAGGAUGAUCAGCCACAUUGGGACUGAGACACGGCCCAAACUCCUACGGGAGGCAGCAGUGGGGAAUAUUGGACAAUGGGCGCAAGCGUGAUCCAGCCAUGCCGCGUGAGUGAUGCAGGCGCUAGGGUUGUAAAGCUCUUUUGUACGGGAAGAUAAUGACGGUACCGCAAGAAUAAGCCCCGGCUAACUUCGUG